rnacentral:rRNA from 1 species
AGUGAACGCUGGCGGCGUGCUUAACACAUGCAAGUCGAACGAGAACGGGUUAUAGCUUGCUAUAAUUGUCAGCUAAGUGGCGCACGGGUGAGUAAUGUAUAGGUAAUAUGCCUCUUACUAAAGGAUAACAAAUGGAAACGUUUGCUAAUACCUUAUACUCCUUAUUAACAGAAGUUAAUAAGGGAAAGAUUUAUUGGUAAGAGAUUAGCCUGUAUUGUAUCAGUUAGUUGGUGGGGUAAUGGCCUACCAAGACUAUGACACAUAACUGGUUUGAGAGGAUGAUCAGUCACACUGGAACUGAGACACGGUCCAGACUCCUACGGGAGGCAGCAGUGGGGAAUAUUGCACAAUGGACGAAAGUCUGAUGCAGCAACGCCGCGUGGGGGAUGACACAUUUCGGUGCGUAAACUCCUUUUAUAUGAGAAGAUAAUGACGGUAUUAUAUGAAUAAGCACCGGCUAACUCCGUGCCAGCCGCCGCCGUAA